CAACUUUUAGCAUUGGAUCUCUUGGAUCUCGCAUCGAUGAAGAACGCAGCGAAUUGCGAUGUGUAAUGUGAAUUGCAGAAUUCACUGAAUCAUCGAAUCUUUGAACGCACCUUGCGCCCUUUGGUAUUCCUAAGGGCAUGCCUGUUUGAGUGUCAUUA
rnacentral:rRNA from 1 species